GAAAGCCGUGUGCGGGAAAUCCGCACGCACGGUUUGAAAGGGGGAUCUGGAAACGGGCUGGCAUAAUCGCCAGCACCGCGCCAGAAUUCUACCAAUGUCCCGCAAUGUCCUCGUGGUCGAAGACGACAAGGAUAUCGCCCACCUGCU
rnacentral:ncRNA from 1 species